rnacentral:lncRNA from 1 species
CAAACCCUCCUGUUCUUUCCAGCCAUUGAAAAAUUCUAUUGCACCCACAACAAUUAACUAAAUCAGCAUAAUACACGAGAAAUUUUCAAUGAAAUAUCAUGAUAAACUGAUGCCACAUACAUAUCAGUGUUUCAAGUUGAGAUGGGAAACUUGAUCAACAAAAUUGAAAAUAAAAAACUGCAGAGAAAAAUUCGAGUUAUCUGCCAACAAAUGAAUCGCAAAUUCAAGACCCAUUAACGUAUGCCUGCUGAAACUGAAGCCAUGAAAGAAAGACACAAAUUCUUAAAACUGAAAGAAAGUCAGAAGCCAUGAAACUUCCUGGCAACAACACAAGGCCCAUUCCAGACACAAUUUCUAAAUAAUGAUCUUAAUUAAUUAUCCUUGUGAUUAUGAAUUAAUUAAAGGAUAUGGAAUCUCCAUUAAAAUAGACUCGUGAAAAUAAAAUAAAAUAAAAACGAAAAUGAGAACUUGCUUGCGAAUCGAGGAUCUGUGGAGAAGAAAUGCUGAUGAUAUUCUUCACAUUAUAUGGAAAAAAAAUAAAAAUGCACAAAAUAUUUAGAAGAAAUUACAUCCAUUACAGAUUCUAAAAUAAAGAAGAGAAAGACGCCGACCGGAGUACUAAUUACCGUGUCGCCGCCGUCGAGGGUACUAGAUACUAACCUGGGUUCCGGCCAUAUUUCUUACCGUUCUUCAGCCUGCUGUUCUUAUAGAGAGAGAGAGAGAGAGAGAGAGAGAGAGAGAGAGAGAUUUGGG